AUGAAGAACGUAGCGAAAUGCGAUACUUGGUGUGAAUUGCAGAAUCCCGUGAACCAUCGAGUCUUUGAACGCAAGUUGCGCCUGAGGCCAUUAGGCUGAGGGCACGCCUGCAUGGGCGUCACGC
rnacentral:rRNA from 2 species